AUUGAACGCUGGCGGCAGGCCUAACACAUGCAAGUCGAACGGUAACAGGAAGAAGCUUGCUUCUUUGCUGACGAGUGGCGGACGGGUGAGUAAUGUCUGGGAAACUGCCUGAUGGAGGGGGAUAACUACUGGAAACGGUAGCUAAUACCGCAUAACGUCGCAAGACCAAAAAGGGGGACCUUCGGGCCUCUUGCCAUCGGAUGUGCCCAGAUGGGAUUAGCUAGUAGGUGGGGUAACGGCUCACCUAGGCGACGAUCCCUAGCUGGUCUGAGAGGAUGACCAGCUACACUGGAACUGAGACACGGUCCAGACUCCUACGGGAGGCAGCAGUGGGGAAUAUUGCACAAUGGGCGCAAGCCUGAUGCAGCCAUGCCGCGUGUAUGAAGAAGGCCUUCGGGUUGUAAAGUACUUUCAGCGGGGAGGAAGGGAGUAAAGUUAAUACCUUUGCUCAUUGACGUUACCCGCAGAAGAAGCACCGGCUAACUCCGUG
rnacentral:rRNA from 1 species